rnacentral:rRNA from 1 species
UACAGAGGGGGCAAGCGUUGUUCGGAAUUACUGGGCGUAAAGGGCGCGUAGGCGGCCUUCUAAGUCGAACGUGAAAUCCCCGGGCUCAACCCAGAGCCUGCAUCCGAAACUGGUGGGCUAGGGUGCUGGAGGGGAUAGCGGAAUUCCUGGUGUAGCGGUGAAAUGCGUAGAUAUCAGGAGGAACACCGGUGGCGAAGGCGGCUAUCUGGACAGUAACCGACGCUGAGGCGCGAAAGCUAGGGGAGCAAACAGG